rnacentral:lncRNA from 1 species
CCUCCUCAACAAGUGGCUCGAAAUGACCUCAACUCAGGGGCCAGACCAAACUCCAAGAGUUCUCCUGUGAUACACAGCUACCUCAGUUCAAAAGAUUCUAAUGAUCACCAUGGCAACUCCUGGGCCACUAUUCACAGGAGACUGGUGUUCUAGAUGAGUGGCCCGAGACACAGUAACCUGAGCUAGGUACCAGACACUCAAGCCUAACCCUCAUCCAAAUGGUUCCCAGUCCCUGGGUGGAUCCCAGUCCAGAUUUAGAGGCUCCAGUGGCCCUCUGCACCUUGGUAUUCUUCUCAUUCAGGUUCUCAUCUGCUCUGAACAGCGAAUGUGUCAGCUCGGAGCUAUCUAGGAUACUGGACUCUCCUUGAAGACUCUUCCCUGGACUUGCAGACGUCAUCCAAAACUCCCCACAUCCAGAACUGCAACCUGAAACCCCUCAUGUAAGAGACGUCUUCAUCCUCCUCAUCUCAAUGAGCAUCUCCACUCCCUGACUGUUUGAUUAAAAGUCUAGAGUCAUUCUUGUCCUCACCUUUCUCUCAGCAGACAUAUAAUCUGAAAGAAGGCACUGUCAGCUCCAUUUCUAAAAGAAGCUGCAUCUCGAGCAUGAUCACCACUCCCGUCCCCUUCUGCCAGCAUUCCCACCCUAGCCAGCCCCAUCUCCAGCUGGGAUUACUCACAGCCCAACUGGUCCCCUUCCUGCACCCCGCCCAC